UACGAAGGGGGCUAGCGUUGCUCGGAAUCACUGGGCGUAAAGGGUGCGUAGGCGGCUUUCUAAGUCGGGGGUGAAAUCCUGGAGCUCAACUCCAGAACUGCCUUCGAUACUGGAGAGCUUGAGUCCGGGAGAGGUGAGUGGAACUGCGAGUGUAGAGGUGAAAUUCGUAGAUAUUCGCAAGAACACCAGUGGCGAAGGCGGCUCACUGGCCCGGUACUGACGCUGAGGUGCGAAAGCGUGGGGAGCAAACAGG
rnacentral:rRNA from 1 species